AUUGAACGCUGGCGGCAGGCCUAACACAUGCAAGUCGAGCUGUUGAGGUAGCUUGCUACCGAUGCAGCGGCGGACGGGUGAGUAAUACAUGGGAAUCUGCCUGGUAGUGGGGGACAACGUUUCGAAAGGAACGCUAAUACCGCAUACGCCCUACGGGGGAAAGGGGGGGAUCGCAAGACCUCUCGCUAUCAGAUGAGCCC
rnacentral:rRNA from 1 species